GAUGAACGCUGGCGGCGUGCCUAAUACAUGCAAGUCGAGCGAACAGAUAAGGAGCUUGCUCCUUUGACGUUAGCGGCGGACGGGUGAGUAACACGUGGGUAACCUACCUAUAAGACUGGAAUAACUCCGGGAAACCGGGGCUAAUGCCGGAUAACAUGUUGAACCGCAUGGUUCUACAGUGAAAGGCGGCUUUGCUGUCACUUAUAGAUGGACCCGCGCCGUAUUAGCUAGUUGGUGGGGUAACGGCUCACCAAGGCAACGAUACGUAGCCGACCUGAGAGGGUGAACGGCCACACUGGGACUGAGACACGGUCCAGACUCCUACGGGAGGCAGCAGUAGGGAAUGUUCCGCGAUGGGCGAAAGCCUGACGGAGCAGCGCCGCGUGAGUGAUGAAGGUCUUCGGAUCGUAAAACGCUGUUAUUAGGGAAGAACAAUUGCGGAAGUAACUGUGCGCGUCUUGACGGUACCUAAUCAGAAAGCCACGGCUAACUACGUG
rnacentral:rRNA from 1 species